rnacentral:rRNA from 1 species
AGGAUUAACGCUGGCGGCGUGCAUGAAACAUGCAAGUCGAGCGCGGUACGUGGCUUCGGUCACGUAUCUAGCGGCGCACGGGUGAGUAACACGUGAGCAACCUACCUUCGAGUUCGGGAUAGCCCUGGGAAACCAGGAUUAAUACCGGAUGUGGUCACAACGGGACAUCCCGAUGUGAAAAAAGGCGCAAGCCGCUCGAUGACGGGCUCGCGGCCUAUUAGCUUGUUGGUGGGUAACGGCCUACCAAGGCGACGAUGGGUAGCUGGUCUGAGAGGACGAUCAGCCACACUGGGACUGAGACACGGCCCAGACUCCUACGGGAGGCAGCAGUUAGGAAUUUUCCGCAAUGGGCGAAAGCCUGACGGAGCAACGCCGCGUGUGUGAUGAAGGCCUUCGGGUUGUAAAGCACUGUCGGAGGGAGAAUGAAUGACGGUACCUCCAAGAAAGCCCGGCUAACUACGUGCCAGCAGCCGC